rnacentral:lncRNA from 1 species
GUGCGGCGUCUUUCUGAACUCCCCCGACUGUCCGAGCUUCCAUAAUACCAUCUGGACUUCUCCAAUAAUGAGCUCCUCCAUUCAUCUACCAGACUGCUCCAAAUGCUCUCUGAGCUUCACUAUCAGCCGAUUUUCUACAGUGAUCGACUAUUCUCCGAAUCUCUUUCAGACUUCUUCCAGCCACGAUCGACUCUACUCUGAACUUCUAUUGCAAGCGGACUU